GAUGAACGCUAGCUACAGGCUUAACACAUGCAAGUCGAGGGGCAGCAUGGUCUUAGCUUGCUAAGGCCGAUGGCGACCGGCGCACGGGUGAGUAACACGUAUCCAACCUGCCGUCUACUCUUGGACAGCCUUCUGAAAGGAAGAUUAAUACAAGAUGGCAUCAUGAGUCCGCAUGUUCACAUGAUUAAAGGUAUUCCGGUAGACGAUGGGGAUGCGUUCCAUUAGAUAGUAGGCGGGGUAACGGCCCACCUAGUCUUCGAUGGAUAGGGGUUCUGAGAGGAAGGUCCCCCACAUUGGAACUGAGACACGGUCCAAACUCCUACGGGAGGCAGCAGUGGGGAAGAUUGGUCAAUGGGCGCAGGCCUGAACCAGCCAAGUAGCGUGAAGGAGGACUGCCCUAUGGGUUGUAAACUUCUUUUAUAAAGGAAUAAAGUCGGGUAUGUAUACCCGUUUGCAUGUACUUUAUGAAUAAGGAUCGGCUAACUCCGUG
rnacentral:rRNA from 1 species